rnacentral:rRNA from 1 species
CCCUUAGAUGUUCUGGGCCGCACGCGCGCUACACUGACGAAGUCAGCGAGCAUGUCCUACGCCGACAGGUGCGGGGAAUCUUGUCAAACUUCGUCGUGAUGGGGAUUGAUUAUUGAAAUUCUUGAUCAUCAACGAGGAAUUCCUAGUAAGCGCGAGUCAUAAGCUCGCGUUGAUUACGUCCCUGCCCUUUGUACACACCGCCCGUCGCUACUACCGAUUGAACGGUUUAGUGAGGGCCUCGGAUUGGUCUCGGCCCGCUCUUUACCGGGCGGCGCCGUUGGUCGAGAAGACGCUCGAACUUGAUCGUUUAGAGGAAGUAAAAGUCGUAACA